rnacentral:rRNA from 1 species
CAUCCAACGCGUUGGGAGCUCUCCCAUAUGGUCGACCUGCAGGCGGCCGCGAAUUCACUAGUGAUUCGUAUUACCGCGGCUGCUGGCACAGAGUUAGCCGGUGCUUAUUCUGCGAGUAACGUCCACUAUCCAAGAGUAUUAAUCUCGGUAGCCUCCUCCUCGCUUAAAGUGCUUUACAACCAAAAGGCCUUCUUCACACACGCGGCAUGGCUGGAUCAGGGUUCCCCCCAUUGUCCAAUAUUCCCCACUGCUGCCUCCCGUAGGAGUCUGGGCCGUGUCUCAGUCCCAGUGUGGCGGAUCAUCCUCUCAGACCCGCUACAGAUCGUCGCCUUGGUAGGCCUUUACCCCACCAACUAGCUAAUCCGACCUAGGCUCAUCUGAUAGCGCAAGGCCCGAAGGUCCCCUGCUUUCUCCCGUAGGACGUAUGCGGUAUUAGCGUCCGUUUCCGAACGUUAUCCCCCACUACCAGGCAGAUUCCUAGGCAUUACUCACCCGUCCGCCGCUCUCAAGAGAAGCAAGCUUCUCUCUACCGCUCGACUUGCAUGUGUUAGGCCUGCCGCCAGCGUUCAAUCUGAGCCAUGAUCAAACUCUAAUCGAAUUCCCGCGGCCGCCAUGGCGGCCGGGAGCAUG